rnacentral:ncRNA from 1 species
GGUGCAUGGCCGUUCUUAGUGGGUGGAACGAUUUGUCUGGUUAAUUCCGAUAAUGAAUGAGACUCUGGCAUGCUAACUAGUUACAAGAGCCCCUCGCGGUCGGCAUCCCCCAACUUCUUAGAGGGACAAGUGGCGUUCAGUCACCCAAGAUAGAGCAGUAACAGGUCUGAGAUGCU